CAGUCGCCGCGGGAAUACGUAGGGUGCGAGCGUUAAUCGGAAUUACUGGGCGUAAAGCGUGCGCAGGCGGUUCGUUAAGACAGAUGUGAAAUCCCCGGGCUUAACCUGGGAACUGCAUUUGUGACUGACGGGCUAGAGUAUGGCAGAGGGGGGUAGAAUUCCACGUGUAGCAGUGAAAUGCGUAGAGAUGUGGAGGAAUACCGAUGGCGAAGGCAGCCCCCUGGGCCAAUACUGACGCUCAUGCACGAAAGCGUGGGGAGCAAACAGGAUUAGAUACCCGCGUAGUCCCUGUCUCUUAUAU
rnacentral:rRNA from 1 species